UGCGAUGAAUUAGAGCUGGUGCACUAACUGGUCUCAUAAGCCAUGAUUAGGUGGGUUCGAUUCUCACCAUCGCAACCA
rnacentral:tRNA from 1 species